GGGCGGAAGAAUAGCCGCCCGACAACUAAAACGGCCACACCGUGAACGGGUGCGAGUGUCCCAAGCCACUAUAAACCGUUGAGGGGUUG
rnacentral:ribozyme from 1 species